CAGCCGCCGCGGGAACACGUAGGUGGCAAGCGUUGUCCGGAAUUAUUGGGCGUAAGGCGCGCGCAGGUGGUUUAAUAAGUCUGAUGUGAAAGCCCACGGCUCAACCGUGGAGGGUCAUUGGAAACUGUUAAACUUGAGUGCAGGAGAGAAAAGUGGAAUUCCUAGUGUAGCGGUGAAAUGCGUAGAGAUUAGGAGGAACACCAGUGGCGAAGGCGGCUUUUUGGCCUGUAACUGACACUGAGGCGCGAAAGCGUGGGGAGCAAACAGGAUUAGAUACCCGAGUAGUCCCUGUCUCUUAUAC
rnacentral:rRNA from 1 species